AAAGGGAGAGAAGAGGGAGGGGGAAAGGAGACAGAAAGGCAAGAAACGGCAGCCGCCGUGGUCGUGCUGGAAAAAACAUAGCAAGAGAACAAAGGCGUGAAGUUUUUGGGAGAAGGGAGUUCCAACCAAAGGUAAUAAUAGUCUUGAGGUGGAAAGCUCUAACACUUGACUGGUUCGGGCCACUGCAGUUCACACCCGAGGACCUUGCUGAUUAUCGCGUUAGGAUGAAACAUUAUUUCUUUUACCAUUUAUGAGUAAUUUGAGGAAAUAAUAAUAAAUAAAAAAAGACUGAUGCUUAAGUAAUGUUGCUGAGCUCUAAGAUGCCUCUGCUAUCUUAUCAGCUAAAAUCUCCUUUAGUUUUCCUUUUGGCAAUUCAUGAUCUGGGUAUUUUGUUAAUAAGAAUCUGAAGCUAAAUAUUUAUACUAAUCAAGUGAAACUUUUAAGUGA